ensembl:snRNA U6 U6 spliceosomal RNA
GUGCUCACGUAGGCACCACAUAUACUAAAAUUGGAUCAAUACAGAGAAGAAUAGCAUGGGCCCUGAGCAAGGGUGACACCCAAAUUCAUGAAGCAUUCCAUAUUUUU